CCUACGGGCGGCAGCAGUGAGGAAUAUUGGUCAAUGGACGAGAGUCUGAACCAGCCAAGUAGCGUGAAGGAUGACUGCCCUAUGGGUUGUAAACUUCUUUUAUAUGGGAAUAAAAUGUUCCACGUGUGGGAUUUUGUAUGUACCAUAUGAAUAAGGAUCGGCUAACUCCGUGCCAGCAGCCGCGGUAAUACGGAGGAUCCGAGCGUUAUCCGGAUUUAUUGGGUUUAAAGGGAGCGUAGGUGGAUUGUUAAGUCAGUUGUGAAAGUUUGCGGCUCAACCGUAAAAUUGCAGUUGAAACUGGCAGUCUAGAGUACAGUUGAGGUAGGCGGAAUGUGUGGUGUAGCGGUGAAAUGCUUAGAUAUCACACAGAACUCCGAUUGCGAAGGCAGUUCACAGAACUGCAACUGACACUGAGGCUCGAAAGUGUGGGUAUCAAACAGGAUUAGAUACCCCAGUAGUC
rnacentral:rRNA from 1 species